UUCUCAUCCAGAGAGGUUGAGGGACUGGCCCAAUGAAACCUCGGCAACCAACAGGUUCAUUUACCUGGAAAGGUGCCAACUCCUGCGCCCUGGUUAAGCUUGGGUCGAAAGAUGAGAG
rnacentral:ncRNA from 1 species